rnacentral:rRNA from 1 species
UACGUAGGGUGCAAGCGUUAUCCGGAAUCACUGGGCGUAAAGCGUGCGUAGGUGGGAAUUUACGUGAGAUGUGAAAUCGUGUGGCUCAACCAUAUCGUUGUAUCUCAUACUGGGUUCCUAGAGGACGGCAGAGGCAAGUGGAACUAGCAGUGUAGCAGUGAAAUGCGUAGAUAUUGCUAAGAACACCAAUGGCGAAGGCAGCUUGCUGGGCCACUCCUGACACUGAGGUACGAAAGCGUGGGGAGCGAACAGG